rnacentral:rRNA from 1 species
GACAGAGGGUGCAAACGUUGUUCGGAAUUACUGGGCGUAAAGCGAGUGUAGGCGGUUCGGGAAGUCGGAUGUGAAAGCCCCGGGCUCAACCCGGGAAGUGCACUCGAUACUGCCGAGCUAGAGUAUCGGAGAGGUUGGUGGAAUUCUCGGUGUAGAGGUGAAAUUCGUAGAUAUCGAGAGGAACACCGGUGGCGAAGGCGGCCAACUGGACGAAUACUGACGCUGAGACUCGAAAGCGUGGGGAGCAAACAGG